UUUAGGGCGCAAUGUCAGUAUGUGCGUAGUUGCAGUACUGCUGGAGAGAUGUGUACAUGUCUCAACUUCUCGACUCCAGAGGGGCAGUCCAGGAGUGUAGUGUGCUCGACCAUGAUGUGAAACACUCUCUGUGAGAUGUGUUAGAUCUGUGUAAGAUCUGUGUUAGAUCUGUGGUUGAGUUCAGUUCAUCAUGCAGUUGAGAAUGGUUGUUGAAGACUCUGUUGAUCGAACAGAUUGAUUCCCUCACAAGGACUAUUGACUACGAGCGGCACAGAAAAGUCCAGACAUUUUUGUCGGGAGUUGCAUCAGGAAGAGGUAACCUGGAGCAUGUGCACGUGAAACCAUUCUUGCGGAAAGUUUUCCCUCUAACUAACUGACCAUUCCCUCGACUCUAGAGGAGCCGAAAGAAGCAUUAAGACCUGCCAGAGAAGAUGAUGGGAUACGACUUGUUGCAGACUUGCUACGAUAUUCUCAUCUCCUUGUUUGGAUGUGACGAGAAGUCAGUUUCAUAAAUAUGUCUGACCAUUUAGCUUUUAUCGAGCAGACGUUACUGUUUAAGACUCUUCCGAGAUGGCGGGCCUUUUAAGUCAAGAUAUAACGACAGUUUUGCACUUUUGAUGAGAUAAUAUUGAACA